ensembl:lncRNA
GAAAUGUUUUGUUCAAUGUGAUAUAAAAUGGGUUACGAUGAUACAUAACUUUGAGUGUCCAUUCCAGUGCACAGAAACUUGAGUGAGUGUGGCAGAAAGCUAAACUGGAUGAUUGCCUGACUGAAGUCAUACACAAAAGAGAAGACCACAGAAGGUGAAAGAAGAUUGGGCAAAAUGGAAGGAAUAUGGAAGCAUGGCCCAAGUGUGCAGCACCUCACCACCUUCUGAACAUCUGUAUUUGCUGAACUCUUUGGACCUUCCUGCCACAAUACUGCGAUUCCAUAGUGUGGAGAAGGGUGAAUCUCUUCUUUGUCAAAAGCAGAAGUAUUUUAUUCAAAAUACAUGGGAGUAUCUCCAGAAACUUUUCUUCAAAGUCAAACAGCAUGGUUAAUAGUCUGACAGAGUGUAUUCUUCCACUGCCGGUGGAGUAGAGCCAAACCCAAUGAGCUGUGCAAGAGGAAUACAGGAGCAGAGAGAGCUUGCUG